rnacentral:tRNA from 1 species
UAAUUACUCUUUAAAGCAAAAUAAAUGCAAUAGUUUUAGAAACUAAAUUUCCUAUAA